rnacentral:rRNA from 1 species
AAUGGAGGAAACUCUGAUCCAGCCAUGCCGCGUGCAGGAUGAAUGCCUAUGGGUUGUAAACUGCUUUUAUACAGGAAGAACAUUUCCACGUGUGGAAACUUGACGGUACUGUAAGAAUAAGGAUCGGCUAACUCCGUGCCAGCAGCCGCGGUAAUACGGAGGAUCCAAGCGUUAUCCGGAAUUAUUGGGUUUAAAGGGUCCGUAGGUGGUUAUUUAAGUCAGAGGUGAAAUCCUGCCGCUUAACGGUAGAACUGCCUUUGAUACUGAUUAACUUGAGUUAUUGUGAAGUAGUUAGAAUAUGUAGUGUAGCGGUGAAAUGCAUAGAUAUUACAUAGAAUACCGAUUGUGAAGGCAGAUUACUAACAAUAUACUGACACUGAGGGACGAAAGCGUGGGUAGCGAACAGGAUU